GGCAUUUGAGCAGAAGGAACACCACUCACUGCACAUGGAGGUAGUACGUACUUCCACACACAAGCUUAGAGAAAGUAUGAGUGCCAGUGCAGUGGUGCAAUGCCCUAAGAAAUGAUUCCCAAAGUGGGAAGUACUACCCCCUCCCCAGGGUGAUGGAAAGAUCCAGGGAGGGGGCAGAGAGGGUAAAGGGGGCAGUGUCCUGGGAAAGUGGCCAAGUAUGCUGAUAGCAACACACUCAGAGUUAGAUUAUGUUCCAAAGUCAAAUAAAACAGCAAAGGUCUGUGCAAACAGUUCUCAAGCAAGAGCCCAAAUGCACAAACCCAAGGGCACAGCCAAAGAGAGAAGUCAACAAUUCAAAGUCCAGGGUUUUAGAAAGCGUCGAGAUGAGUAAGCAAAUCCAAAGGUCAAGAAGUCCAGAAAGACACAGCAACUAGCAAUCCAAGGAGCAAGGUUUCCAGCCAAGAAAAUAAGGUCAGGAUCAAACGUGGUUUCGCAGGGAAGCUCCGAUAAUCUCUGACACCAAGGUACUGUUUCAGCCUCUGACAUAGCUGCAUUCAUUGUCAUGAUAUAUUUCUUCAUCUCUGAAGUCAUUGUUACUGGUGAAAGUAGAAAACCAAAAAAUAUGCAGAUGAAUUGUCUUACCAGAUAUCCAGGUGGGGGAAGGAUCAGAGAAAAAGCUUCUUUCUUGACACCAAACUGCUAUUCCAAGAAAAGACAACUUUUUAUUAGUCCAGACGUUUUUUAAAAGGGAGUGGGAUCAAUUUGUGUACCCUCAAAACAUAGCAAAAAUCUAUCUAAAUGAAAAAGCAUUUGCCUGCCAGGGGCAGUAGAGGAGGAUAAGGGCCAGUCUACUAUGGGACAGAGUUCACAGAUUAGGAGCAGCCACUGAGAUGUGUCCUCAUUGGAUGUGUCUGUGAUAGUUGUGGGACCAAGAGACCCAUGUUACCUAAAUUGCAAGGACCCUGUUAUUUAACAACACUAUGUUCCUUUGAUGACAGCACUCUGGGCCUUUUUAUCCUACUGAUGCCACCAAUUUGUCAAGAUCACUUUUUUCUUUACCACUAAGGUGUUGUACAGACAGAGUGUCUGUCUGACAUCAAAACAAGACCAAAUUGGCAGUGCCUAUGCAGGCAUAUUUAAAGGGCAAAAUGUGUCCUGUGACAGAUUCUGGGAUUAAAAUGAAGUCUCCAGGAGAGAAGAAUAAGAAGGGAACUUGUAAAUGGCUGGACAAUCAGUGCAAAUGUCUCUGGAGUAUCUUUUCCAGAGGGAAAUGUAUUUGGGUUUCUGUUCUUGUGUAAUCGCAAGAUCUGUCAUCCACCAUUACUCAUCUUGGGGUAACAAGAAUCUUAAAAUUCACACAGGCUCAUGUAGAGAGAUAUGAUUUUUCAGACAGCUGGGACUCAAACAAUAUAGGGCUUUAUAGAUCAUAACCAUAACUUUCAUUUUUGCCCAGCAUGUGAGUGUCAUCAGUGAUUCUGCCCUUGACUGGAGGACUUUUGUUUCCAGCAAUGAUGGCUACCUACAUGCCUGACAUGUGGAUUUUUUCUGAGUGAGGUGUUAUUCUGCUCCAAUGUGAGCUGUCUAUUGUAACUGAAAAGAGAAAUAUAACAAGGAAUAAGGGGGAAAGUAUACUAAAAUAUUUGUGCUUGGACCAAUUAUCAUAUUUGGAAAUGACCAACAAAUGUCUGAACACACUCUGAAAACCCCUGUACAGCACAAAAGGCAUAUUCAUGAUUUGCUUUAUUAUCAUUUCUGUUGUUAAUAUGUGACUGUUCUUGCAUUUAAGUAAUUAUGAGUAAGUAAAUUAUGAGUACAUUACUCACA